rnacentral:rRNA from 2 species
CCUACGGGAGGCAGCAGUGGGGAAUAUUGGGCAAUGGGCGAAAGCCUGACCCAGCAACGCCGCGUGAAGGAAGAAGGUCUUCGGAUUGUAAACUUCUUUUAUGAGGGACGAAGGACGUGACGGUACCUCAUGAAUAAGCCACGGCUAACUACGUGCCAGCAGCCGCGGUAAU